UUAGCUCAGUGGCAUUAAGCACCUGCCUUGCAAGCAGGCAGUCAUGAGUUCGAUUCCCAGUA
rnacentral:tRNA from 1 species